AUACGGAGGAUGCGAGCGUUAUCCGGAUUUAUUGGGCGUAAAGGGUGCGUAGGCGGCCUUGUAAGUCAGAUGUGAAAGAUCAUGGCUUAACUGUGGUAAGCAUUUGAAACUGCAGGGCUUGAGUACCGGAGAGGAGAGUGGAAUUCCUAGUGUAGCGGUGCAAUGCGUAGAUAUUAGGAGGAAUACCAGUGGCGAAGGCGACUCUCUGGACUGAUACUGACGCUGAGGCACGAAAGCGUGGGGAGCAAACAGGAUUAGAUACCCUGGUAGUCCACGCUAUAAACGAUGAGUGCUAGGUGUCGGGGGUCAGACCUCGGUGCCGCAGUUAACACAUUGAGCACUCCGCCUGGGGAGUACGGCCGCAAGGCUGAAACUCAAAGGAAUUGACGGGG
rnacentral:rRNA from 1 species